GACGAACGCUGGCGGCGUGCUUAACACAUGCAAGUCGAACGGAAAGGCCCUGCUUUUGUGGGGUGCUCGAGUGGCGAACGGGUGAGUAACACGUGAGUAACCUGCCCUUGACUUUGAGAUAACGUCAGGAAACUGGGGAUAAUACCGGAUAGGAGCUCCUGCUGCAUGGUGGGGGUUGGAAAGUUUCGGCGGUUGGGGAUGGACUCGCGGCUUAUCAGCUUGUUGGUGGGGUAGUGGCUUACCAAGGCUUUGACGGGUAGCCGGCCUGAGAGGGUGACCGGCCACAUUGGGCCUGAGAGACGGCCCAGACUGCUACGGGAGGCAGUAGUGGGGAAUAUUGCACAAUGGGCGGAAGUCUGAUGCAGCAACGCCGCGGGCGGGAUGACGGCCUUCGGGUUGUAAACCGCUUUCGCCUGUGACGAAGCGUUAGUGACGGUAAUUGGUAAAGAAGCACCGGCUAACUACGUG
rnacentral:rRNA from 1 species